AACCUGUUAAGUAAUCGAUAAUCCACGUUACUUUUCACUUUUAUUUAUAUUUUAUAUACCUCCAUCUUAAGAAUUUAUUUUUAAAAUUUUAUUCUCACUAGUAUUAAACCUAAUAAGUUAGGUAAAGGUGUAGACCAUAUUUAAGUUAUAAUGGGUUACUUUUAAAAAUAUUAAAGGAAGGAAAAAGAAAUUUUUCCUAAAAAUAGGAUUUAUUAGUAAAAUUUAAACAAUAUUUAAAUUCGAAAAAUACAAUAAAUGUGC
rnacentral:rRNA from 1 species